rnacentral:lncRNA from 1 species
AUGGUUUAUAAUUUAAAUUUAAACUAUAUAAACAGUGUAGGUGAGAGUAUCCUUCAUUUUUUUAAUCCCAAUUUGAAAUAUGAACAAAGAAUUACUAGAAACUGGUUUUUAAUACAACCUAUACCCGUUUUUAUAAUAAGUUUUAUUUAUAUAACGUUUUUAAUUGUUUCAUAUAUAUAUAUAAAUUAUAAUAUAUCAAAUGAAAAUAAAAAAAAGCUGACUACGUCACAAAAACAAGUAGCUGAUGCUUCUAAAAAUGCUAAAAGUAACAAUGCUACAAAUAGCAAUGCUACAGGAUCAAUAUUACAACAAGUUGUGCCUAUAUAUAACUUGAUACAAUUUGCGUUAAGUUUUAUUAUUUUGGUGUUUGUUAUUUAUGAAGGCAAAAAACGGAACUUUUAUUUUUAUUACAAUGAAUUUGAUGCUUCAAGAAAGGAAAUUGCUUUUUGGUGUUGGAUAUUUUACUUAAAUAAAGUGAUCGAUUUUUUUGAUACCAUAUUAAUUGUAUUGAAAAAGAAAUGGAAUCAAUUUAGUCUUUUACAUACGUAUCAUCACUUUACAGUUUUCAUAAUUAUGUGGAUUAACACGGCAGUUGGAUAUGAUGGUGACAUUUCCUAUAUUAUUGGUGUAAAGUAAGGACAAAAAAAUAAAAAUAAAUAAAGCAAAUAAUAAAAUAAAAAU